CGGAUACUGACCUGCCAAGGCAUCUUGGCGGGUCGAAAGCUCCGGCGGUGAAGGAUGAGCCCGCGGCCUAUCAGCUUGUUGGUGAGGUAAUGGCUCACCAAGGCGACGACGGGUAGCCGGCCUGAGAGGGCGACCGGCCACACUGGGACUGAGACACGGCCCAGACUCCUACGGGAGGCAGCAGUGGGGAAAUAUUUGCACAAUGGGCGAAAAGCCCUGAUGCAGCGACGCCGCGUGAGGGGAUGACGGCCCUUCGGGUUUGUAAACCCUCUUUCAGCAGGGAAAGAAA
rnacentral:rRNA from 1 species